GACCGAACGCUGGCGGCAUGCCUAACACAUGCACGUCGAACGAAGGCUUCGGCCUUCGUGGCGCACGGGUGCGUAACGCGUGGGAAUCUGCCCUUUGGUUCGGAAUAACAGCUGGAAACGGCUGCUAAUACCGGAUGAUGACGAAAGUCCAAAGAUUUAUCGCCAGAGGAUGAGCCCGCGUUGGAUUAGGUAGUUGGUGGGGUAAAGGCCUACCAAGCCGACGAUCCAUAGCUGGUCUGAGAGGAUGAUCAGCCACACUGGGACUGAGACACGGCCCAGACUCCUACGGGAGGCAGCAGUGGGGAAUAUUGGACAAUGGGCGCAAGCCUGAUCCAGCAAUGCCGCGUGAGUGAUGAAGGCCCUAGGGUUGUAAAGCUCUUUUACCCGGGAAGAUAAUGACUGUACCGGGAGAAUAAGCCCCGGCUAACUCCGUG
rnacentral:rRNA from 1 species